rnacentral:rRNA from 1 species
GCUAAUACAUGCAAGUCGAGCGAAUGGAUUAAGAGCUUGCUCUUAUGAAGUUAGCGGCGGACGGGUGAGUAACACGUGGGUAACCUGCCCAUAAGACUGGGAUAACUCCGGGAAACCGGGGCUAAUACCGGAUAACAUUUUGAACCGCAUGGUUCGAAAUUGAAAGGCGGCUUCGGCUGUCACUUAUGGAUGGACCCGCGUCGCAUUAGCUAGUUGGUGAGGUAACGGCUCACCAAGGCAACGAUGCGUAGCCGACCUGAGAGGGUGAUCGGCCACACUGGGACUGAGACACGGCCCAGACUCCUACGGGAGGCAGCAGUAGGGAAUCUUCCGCAAUGGACGAAAGUCUGACGGAGCAACGCCGCGUGAGUGAUGAAGGCUUUCGGGUCGUAAAACUCUGUUGUUAGGGAAGAACAAGUGCUAGUUGAAUAAGCUGGCACCUUGACGGUACCUAACCAGAAAGCCACGGCUAACUACGUGCCAGCAGCCGCGGUAAUACGUAGGUGGCAAGCGUUAUCCGGAAUUAUUGGGCGUAAAGCGCGCGCAGGUGGUUUCUUAAGUCUGAUGUGAAAGCCCACGGCUCAACCGUGGAGGGUCAUUGGAAACUGGGAGACUUGAGUGCAGAAGAGGAAAGUGGAAUUCCAUGUGUAGCGGUGAAAUGCGUAGAGAUAUGGAGGAACACCAGUGGCGAAGGCGACUUUCUGGUCUGUAACUGACACUGAGGCGCGAAA